rnacentral:lncRNA from 1 species
AAGAGGCCAAAGCGAAGGAGAGAACAGGCUUCAUCGAGGUGAAUGCAAUUUUUAUAACGAAAAGAUACGGGGCACCUGCAAAAAUUCUAGCGAGUGCUGUACACCGUUCGCAACGCGCAACGGAGUGUUUCGCAAGCAACUUUUUCCUCUAACGACGUUUUACUUUUAAUUUAUGUGAGAGUUCGUUGCAGUCAGUCACAGUUCGCCUUCGAGCAUACGGAAUCACGAAUGAUUCGUGGGCGAAGUGGACAUAAGUUUCAUUCGUCGUAGCAACGGAUAUACUUUAGUGUGUAACUUGUGUAACUUUGAUACGAGGCGGUGUAUAGUUGUGCUAAAAGAAAAAAUCGAUCGUAAUUUUGGGCUUUAUCGUGAAAGAAGGCUUGCCGCCGGGCGGUUCCUUCCGCCGAUAGCCUCGUGCCGUGCCCAUAACUGGGCUGGUAUCCCACGACUAUACUAUUUACUCCCUACGUGCGCGGAGUGCAUCGAUGCUUACACAUGCUGGCGAUCGAUGCGCGGAGCCUGGGGAGAGAGAGAGAGAGAGAAGUGGUGGUGGUGGUGGUGGUGGUGGUGGUGAUGGUGAGGUCACGCCGGGUAGGCGAGGGGCGAAGGGACACAAAUAAAACGAGACUCGCGGAGACAGCUGGUCGUUCUGCCCUCGGGACAAACAACGAACCCACAUGACGCAAAUGCGCACACACGUACACACGCACGUACGCGCGAGUGAUGUGUUUCACGCGUAACUGCAGGCACGCAUACUGAUGGGCCUCUCCGGAUGACCGUGUACCGAUAUACCGGAACCGGCUCGCGCGAUUUUCCGAGCGCGCGGAACACGAUGCCCGCCGUGGGUCGAAAGCUUGCAAGGCGAGAAAAACACGUAAAACGAGGCCGGUUGGCGCAGGAUGAAGCACGUUUAUUAGUGGAACGAGGCCAGAUCAACGAGGCCGAAGGAACUUCUUUAUCGCUCUUCCUUUAAAAACCCAACGCGCUAUCAUUAAGACACUUCGUGCACUUUGUCCGCACUUUUAUUAAAUCGCACAUCGUCGACGUCAAAAUUCCAGAAAAGUUAUUCAACUAUAUCGAUUUAAAAAAGUAAGUAGAGUUUCACAUCUCUAAUACUAAAAUUACUUUAUGUGGGUAUGUGAGGAAGGAGGGGGAGGGCAAAUAUUUUAUUUCGUUCAUUUUAUUAGUUUUUCUUUUCUGUUGAGUCAUUCGUUUUCAUUCUUAAUUCAUUCCGAUAGCAUUUACGUCAUCACGUCAUCACUUAUUCUUAAAUUUAUAUUGCAUAUUUCCGGCAGGUUUACAGCAAAUAAUAACGCGUUAUGAAACAAUACAUCAAAUCAAAGAUGAGUAUCAGAGUUCCGCCCGCAUAGAACAUUAUGGUCAAUUCGUCAUAAAUUCUUAUUGGUAGAAUGUGCUAUCAGUGUCAACUCACGUGUUAUAAAUCUUUUUAAACUAUAAAAGCUCAGGGGCUCGAUUCUUGAAGUCAUUCACAAGAGAAACGUAUACGCAAAAUACUCGCUCUAACAGAAAAGUUGCAAGUUUAUUGGUUAAUAGCCAUACGAUAGCCAAUAAAUUUCUAACUUUUCUGUAAGAACAGAAUUUGCGAAUACGUUUCUCUUGCGAAUGAAUUCAAGAAUCGAGCCCCUGGAAUCAUGGCAAAAGAACGAGCAGCUGUGUUAGCUACAUUAAAUUUUCGAAAAAAAAAAAAACGUUACUAAAUGUAAUAAACAUAUAUGUAGAAACACUAUGCGAUAUACGGAAUGUCACUUGAAAUAAUCUAGUUAAUGAGACAGACGGUGAAAUCAACUUGAACGUAUCGACCGGGAAUUCCAAUAACCACUUGACGAAACAAAAAAAUAGACAAAGUUUUCCUUUUAAGAUUCAAUCGGCAUUUUACAUUAUCUUUAACAAAUUAAUUACAGAUGAAUAAGAUGACAUCACAGCGCCAAUAAAACAUAAAUGACUGUAAAAAUAUUAACAGAGAUGUUAAUAUAUGCUCGAAACAACAUUCGCCUGACGACAAGUUUGCAUACAAAAGAACAGAAUGCGACAGGUGUUUGAUAUUGAUGAUCGAGUCGUCGAGCCGAAGUCCAUCAGGAAAGAUGAUGUUUAAAAAAAAAAAGGAGUUUGAUAUCGGCGCGAUAUAGUAAGCGAGAUUAAUUUCGGUAGACAAUCUAUGAGGUCGAAUAUCGCGAUGCGGUUUAAACUGCAACGCGAAUGCAUUCUCGCGGGACUUCCAUGCCACGACUCGAUCGCCAUCAUCGCCACGGUCUCGAUUAAUCGCGUCUGCUGGUACGUACAGCUUCAUAUCAGUCGCAGCGUUGCCACGUUAUUGCGCCUGGUAAUUCAACAGAUGCUCGACUGAAGCGUCUGCCAAGGGCAGAAACGAUCGCGACCGUCGAACGAAUACGCGGCAAUUUGUUUCGGGGAGCGCAAUUUCGACGUUGCACGGUAGAUACAGCGGAGAAUUCUCGGUUACGUUUUCCCUCGCUCGAUACAGCUUCCAAUUUCUGAAGUGGUCGAGUCGCAGAGCGCGGGCUUGCGACUCUCGUGGACGUGGGCGAACGAACUCUUUAGGGCCAGACGGCGUAGGUAAAUGCGCGGCGCGGCGACGACAUCGCAUAAAUAAAAUCUAAUGGUUUCUUUUCUUACCACCGUGUCGAACGUAUAUUUAUUUCGAAUCACGUCGCGGGCGCAACGCGAACCGUAAAUACGGUAUGAAGUUUCGUAACCCGGGCUCUCAAUGCAGGAACGCAACGUGCGCGUGUAAAUACACGUCUAUCACAUCGGCCAACCCUUCCUUCGAACCGCGUCCCUCUCCCCCUUUAAUUUUUUUUCUACUCACUUAUCGGGUAUCGCGCGUUGACGCUUUCUCACGCUGUUCGUUUCGUCACGGCCGGCCGAUCCCCGUUUAACACGUUCGUCAAUAAAUCUUGAUACGUAAAGUAUCUCGCGAUACGACGUUACAGUUUGCACGGUGGACAUCGCGAGCGACGUUAAAUUGAGUUCCAACGCGCUCGUUUUGAAUUCAUCACAGCGCGCAGAUCAAGAGAAAUUCGCGCGAACAAUCGUGUCACAUUUCGCAGAUAACGAAACCCCGACAAGUUGCGUCGCGUAAUUACCGCAUUGAGUCUUUCGUCCAUUCAACUAACGAUGUGAAUGAAAUCAUAAUCAAAAAGAUCAUAACGCGAUUAUUGUAAAAUUUCAUCGGUGAUUAUUUGAUCGACUGCAUGUUUAGGAAAUAUUGUGCUCAAUAACAAUUCGAAAGGUUGUCUUGAAGAAAGUUACACUGAUAAAUAUUAAAGAAUCAAAUUUAAAUAAAUUCUUUGAGUUAAAUAUAACAUUUUGUUCUUUUCCAUAUGUCAAAAUUUAUAAUUUUAAAUUUAUUAUUAUUUUUAUUGUAAGUUAAAAAAAAUAACCUUAUAAAAAAAACAGCUUAGUUAUUAACAUAAACUACGUUCAAAUUUCUUGCGUUAAAUUGUUAAUUCCAUUGUUUUAGUUAAAUUAAUGACAUAUCGAAUAGGAGCAAUGGUGGACCUUACAGAAUUGAUUAAAAAUAGCUGAAAUAAUUAUAAAAAUAACUUUCCUCCUUCCCGGCACUACGAAUUUAACAUUUUAACAGUGUGUAGCAGUGAUUAUAUUUUGCAAAGUAAAUAUACUCAAAGUAAAUAUAUUCAAAACUAAAGAAAGUAUACUUUCUUUACAUACUGUUGAUUACAUUUGCAACGAUAUCUUUCGCACUACAUUGGAGAGCCUAUAACAUCGGUUGUAACUUGGUCUAACUGCACCUAAACUCUGAAUCGGCGGGCAUGAAUAGUGCGACGCCAUUAAACUUCGGAUAGUAAUAACAUCUGAAUGCAGUCGUCAUCGUGAUAUGCAAUCGAAUUUAGUUUAGUGUCAACGUUCCUCGCUCGCGAAGAAACGAGACGCGCCUGAAUAGAGAAGCGACGCGAAUUACGCGGAUUGAAUGAGGAGCGAUGCUCCGAAUGCGCAAAAUUUUCACUAGUUUUGCAUCAUUACAGCGAAUGGGCCGUGAUAAAGGAUGAAUGGAAUUUACAAUAAAAGAAUCACCGAUUCACGUACUGAUUCACAUAAUUCCCAUCUAUAAACUGCCAGAGACCAUAUAGAAAGAAUUUGCCCGUUAAUUCCGUAAUUUUAUUAAUCCGGUUUUUUGUCCGAUUAAAUUUUGAUUGAACGGUGCGCGGUCUGCUCGUAUCGUGAAUUAUCGCGGGGACGCGAUUGAAAGUUCCCCAUUUUCCACAUAAUGCGGGACGGGAGAUAUAUUAUAUAUACGAGAGCAGACUGCAUAAUUAUAAAUUCGCAAUCACUUUCAGACGUAUCGCUGCACGUUCCGACUUCACAAAUAACACGUCGUCAAUAAAUUACCCCCAGUAUCGAUCGGCCAUACGGCUCGUGAUAUUCUUUUGUAUGAGAAACGAAUAACCGCGAUCAAUAAUCUCCAUGUGCAUAUAGACAAUAACCGUAAAAGUUAUCCCUCGUCGCAUACAAGGGCAAUCUAUUCCUUUAUUGGAGCGGACACGGUAUCGCUAAUCGAGCACUUUUUUCAAGAACGUAUGCACCAUUAAACCGGUGUAAGCACGAAAUCGUAUCGACAUCACCGGGGGAGUAGCUCAUGAUUAAAUAGAAACUUAAUAUUAUUAGGCCCAAAUGGGGCGCUCGAUAAGUGACUCGCUCUUACGUAACGUAGACACACGCGAGCGAUCGACGUUGUGUAAUAUAAGUGGUCUAAAUACGAUAUGCCGAGAGAGAUAAUCAUUUACAAUGAGCAUCACUAAACCUUUAUCGAUUUCUAUGCACAAUGCGGGCAUUCGACGUGGCAAUCGUAAAAUGUAAACGCGGAUCCUUUCAGCGACGUAAGUGCAGUCGCUCGAAGCAAAAUACGUUCGCGAUCUCUUCGCGCGCUCAUCGUAGAACUAAUCAUCAGGUUCACUAGGGAAAAAUCGGAGAGGAAAGUGACGACAAGUACUCGUAAUACUUUACAACGGAAAUGAGUUUCCGUCCGUUCGCAGCUGUUGGAUAAAUUGAUUCUCAGUUAACCCGCCUUAAGCGCCGUGUAAAAUCGCAAAGUAAAUCUGCUCGCGAACAACUUCUCAAACAAAUAUUGCGCAAAGUAUGAUCCAAGUUGUAACGAUUUAGGAAAAUAAAAAAUAAUAAUAAUUUCUCUCAACGACGAGUGCCGGCGCGUUGAAGAUCGAGUGCCGCCCGGCGCUGUUCGCGAGCGAGACGUUACGUGUCACGACGCGACAGCCGGAGGCGUAACGGAGGAACGGUAGCGUUAUUUCCGCGAAGUCGGCUUCUCCUCGAACCAACGAGGAAAAGCGGAGCAGAGGCGCAGGUAAGGAGGCUUCGCGCUUCGACGGAUCGCGGAACGCCUACGCGAUCGCGGACCAAACCGGUUCUCCCGACCUAUCGCCUGGGCCUCUUCCAUCUCGACAAUUAUCGAUUAGCCCUCGUAAUGUUUGUUGAAAUUCAACGCGCGAAAACUCACGCGGGCGGAGAGAAAACAUUGGGCGUAUGUCAUCCAUGAGGGAAGGAAGGCGAAAGCCCACAUGUGCAUCACGGGGUCUACCGUUCACCAGUUCACCCCGUGGAACGGCAUCGCGCGCUUGUAGCAUUCGGGGAAGCAUCGUGUCCAUGGUGAUUGCCUCUCAUGGUCGCUGCAUGGUCCCCCUCCCAAAAGAGAACAUUGUCGGGGGGGGGGGGGGGGCCUCUCGGAUCAUAAGCUCGAUCCCCGACGAACGAUCGCCGCGUCAACACACGCACGCACAUCCAAGGGUUGCCCUAAACGCAUCGUGGUCUUUUAGAAUAUAAUUGUUUCGCUGAUAAAGAAAACAUUUUUACUCUCGUUAUUUUCGCCCCAUUUUGCGAGUUAUAUCCGAUCGAUAUUUAAUAUCUCUACAUUGAUAAAACAAAGCGAGCGAUGAUGAAAUUGAAAAAUUCCCUAUUCACGGAUUAAGACGACCCUGCGCGUGGCGUGGGAAGGCCCGGGAAAAUUGCGUGCUGGGAUAGAGCGAGGGAAGGAGAAGGCAGGCAUGUGGGAGGGGGGGGGGAGAGAGGGAGCUAGAAACAGAAGGGAACGACUAGUCGUUGGACGCUCCGUUGAAGCGCGGAGUAGAGAGCCGGCCGACGAGCCGAGUCUGGAAUCGAGGGUCUUUCACGAUGAGAGAGCGCGCCAUAACGACCGGGAGGGGAGCGGGGACAAAGGGACGGAGAGAAGGAGGGGAUCGCGAGAGGGAGGAGCGCCCGAGGGGUUGAGGCCCGUUGCGCGAUGUAAUAGCCUCGCGAAAUCUCAUUUCGGGAAAACAUUUGUGAGGCCGGGACGGUUAAAAAAUUACGCGAGUCAGAGAAUGUGAGGUAAAUGAGAUAUCCCAGGAUGAAUAGGCGCUAGGUUUGCAAUACCGCGGAGAGAGAAAGAACGAAUUUGCGCGACUUGCGUCACAACGACGGAAACGUACACGAGUUUCCCCACGCGAUAAAAGCCACGCGAAAACGUUACGCGUCUAUGAGGGGGCUGCUCUUCUCGACGACGCGACGCGACGUCGCGUCGACCUCCUUUGGAGCGUUAAUACGACAAGCGUCGCGCGUGUAAAACAACAAUCGACGGACGCCGGAAAAGGGAACGGAGCCAACAAAACCGCGUCCCGCGACGAGGGCGUCGGGCGAAGCGUUUAUCUACGCGGAACUUGAAUUCUGUAUGCUCGCUCACGCGUCGGGUUACCGCACGCACUAUUCACGUCAACGUUCCGCGGGUAUAAUCACGGAGAGAAUAUCAAAUAAAAUACCCGAUAGAGGUAUAGGCUCAGGGAGAGAUAAUUUCAGUCGCGUAAGCGUUUCUCCUCCUCGAUAAAAAUCGGACGUAAGCCGGGACCUUUGCGCUGCACGCAAACAUCCGUUUGACGUCACGUCUCUCAAAACUGCACCGAGGCGUAGGUAUCGAUCAACUCUAAUAGUAAUACCACGUGUAAUGCAUCCGAUGAUCCGGGGAGGAAGGGAGGGAGGGAGAGAGAGAGACUUUUCUUUCAUGAAAGAAAAGUGCCGUCCGUACAAAACCCUUCCGCGUACGCGCCGCGACCUAACGGGAGCAUCGGUUAAAAGGAAAUGACGGAAUUGACUCGUACGACGAGUCACAAAGCGGGACGCAUUUGAAUACACGACGCGCGGGUGGCUCUUACUGACGUUACUAGAUCGUCCUGUCCCGUUCCAUUAAACGGAGAAAUCCUCUCGACGGCAGAAACGGCAACGGCGGCGGUGGUGACCAACUUUCGUCGACCGGGGAUCGAAACCCUGGGAGAGAGAAAGAGAGAUAUCUUCCUCUCGUCUCUCGAUCUCUCCUGAAGCGACGAGAUGUGGUGGCCUCGCGAGCAGAAACGCGAGGAGAAUUCGCUCGCGUGGUUUCGUGACUCGUGAUCCUGGCGCAGAUCAACCGUGCGCCGGCGUUGCCGAAUUUUCUGUUCUGACAACAAAAAAUGGCCGCUUCUCCGUGGAGACGUGUGUUCGUGUGUACGCACGUAUGUGUGUGUACGUUGUUGUUACAGAGAAGGGGAGCAUAGAAUGAGAAAACGAGGGGGACCUGGAGAGAGGGCAAGAGUGGGACCGCAUGAAAGCCACUGGAACAGGGUAGGGUAGGGAAGAGACGAAAGAGACGGGGGAGAUUGCCAAUAGCGUAAGACUGAGAUAUAAUUUUCAGUUAAGUCGUCGUUACUAGAUAUUAGAAGAUAUCCAAGUUGUAACUCCGGGUAUUAAUCUCCCGACACGUUGCACGAACUUAGCGGACAAUGCGCCGAGAGACACGUUCGAUUCAACAUCGGGACUAAGAGAUAUUUAUAAUUAUGUUUAAUUAUGUUUGCCGUAGCGUUUGUGGGAAGCGUUUAUAUCCGACGAAAUGCCAGCAACAGUCGUUGCAGCUCAUGUCGACAUUAAGGAAGACCCGACGACAUCCAUCGUCAGGCUGAAACGACGAGCCGAUGAUGAAAAAUCGACUGUAUCUCAUCGAGAUGGGAUAUCGUAUCAGCAUUUUGUAAGGCGAAAUUUCGGUAUCGAUGCAAUCGUGCGACGCGUAACUUAAACGAACACCGUCUUUCACGGUCCGUCAUCGAAAUUGGACGUAGAAGCGACUUUCGCCGGCAGAUGCGCGAUAAUAUCGCAGCGGGUCGCAAUUUCGCGCAUAAACUCCAGGAACGGAACGAGCCGCGCGCCGGCGCGACGUCGCGUCUCGGUCUCGCUCGCUUUUUGCUCGCACGCGGAUACGUUCACAAAGGGAACCUCGAGCGAUCUCGAGGGCUUCCCCUCGCGAUUACGCCAAUGAGUCGACCCAGCGAGGCAGCACGGACGGACAGUCGGCUGCGCUGUUGCCAAGCGGAAACCACAAACCGGCGGCAUUUUCUUCUUCCACGAAGACACGGACAGACAACGCGUUCCGCUCGCCUACCGUGUUACCUCGUACACGUAGGAGGAGGCACCGCUCCACGAGCGGAAGGGGUGGACGGGCGCGGGGAUAAACCAAGGAUCGAAAUACAAUCGGCCAUCGGGAGAUAUGAAGAAUGAGAGACGGAGGAUCGGCCAGCGCGCGAAACCACAGUUCGCAAUCGGAGAAACAACGCUCGAUUUCACACGAGCGAGGUUUCGAAUCUCGAGUGUCAAGAGGGGAAUGAAUCCGAGCGUCUUACACAACUGGCGAAAUAUCAUUCGCGUCCAACAUCGGCCGAUUCCGAGGAUGCGUCGCGAUGAAUCUGGACCGAUUACGGAGUCUGGAGGUAACAGGAGAUAUAUAUAUAUAUUACGUGGAAAAGAAGCAAGACAAGAAGAAACUCCGUCCGAUCCGCAGCCGAACCAGAAUAAUAGGGGAGAAGAUGGAGGACGACGAAUUUCCUACGAGAUGCAGGUGCGACCGUUGGACCCGCGAGAAGAGCCCCCGAACGGCCGAUUCGACUCGACAACGAGAUCGCAGAAGCGCGAACGAUUACGUCUAUUUUCACGUAACACGCGGUGGCGGCGACGCGGGGUUUCCUACGCGGUCGCGAAAAAUAUUACGACGGAUGCACGCAUGCGCGGGUCAGCGCGUUAACAUUCGCGCGACCGACGGUAAGAUUCUAAAGUGCACUGACCUCUUGGCCGCUAUGCGAAAGCUAGGCGGCUGUGUGUAGGAAAGUGAUAGUUACGAAUACGUGCGUCCGAUUGUAAUACGCGCUCGUCGUCGUUUAUUGUUCCCCCCCCCCCCCCCGCGAUAUCGGCUUCCGCCUGUUCGAUAUUGACGCGUUCAGUCGACAGCUGUCCUUUACGCGACUUCUUCGGCGAGGAGGAAUCGUCGUCGGUCGACCGAUACGACCUUGCGAUUUUUCUUUCUUUCUACUCCCCUUUUUAUUUCGCGGAAAUUGACAAUAACGCGGAUGUGGGCGCGCAAGAGCGCGAAAUCAUUGACGUCCCUUUUCUUUAGCGAUCCAUUCUUGCGCGGGCGUUGUGACACAUAUACGACCCUAUUUAUUCACGAAAAAAUGUGUUUCCUUAAAAUAGAUAACCUUGCGUUUCGUUGAUCCGUAACGCGACAAUGUAACGUGGCUUACAAACGUAACCUCUUUUGAUAAUUACAUUAUAUAUCUUUUUACGGUAUCAAUUCGGAAAAAAUCCAAUUAACGUAAUAGCGAUCCUAAUAUCUCUACGCGGGCGCAAA